rnacentral:rRNA from 1 species
GCAGUAGCCGCGGUAAUACAGAGGGUGCGAGCGUUAAUCGGAUUUACUGGGCGUAAAGCGUGCGUAGGCGGCUUUUUAAGUCGGAUGUGAAAUCCCUGAGCUUAACUUAGGAAUUGCAUUCGAUACUGGGAAGUUAGAGUAUGGGAGAGGAUGGUAGAAUUCCAGGUGUAGCGGUGAAAUGCGUAGAGAUCUGGAGGAAUACCGAUGGCGAAGGCAGCCAUCUGGCCUAAUACUGACGCUGAGGUACGAAAGCAUGGGGAGCAAACAGGAUUAGAUACCCCAGUAGUCCCUGUCUCUUAUAC